GGGGGCUUGGUGUAGGGGUAUCACGUUCGCUUUGCAUUGUUUCAAAUGCUUGCGAAAGGCCGGGGGUUCAAAUCCCUCAGCCUCCAUUU
rnacentral:tRNA from 1 species